CUACCCCCAAGAAUAUUAGAAUAAUCACACCAUGUAGGUCUGUAUUAUCACUACCCCCAAGAAUAUUAGAAUAAUCACACCUUGCAGGUCUGUACUCUCACUAUCCCCAAGAAUAUUAGAAUAAUCACACCUUGCAGGUCUGUAUUCUCACUACCCCCAAGAAUAUUAGAAUAAUCACACCUUGCAGGUCUGUAUUCUCACUACCCCCAAGAAUAUUAGAAUAAUCACACCUUGCAGGUCUGUAUUCACUACCCCCAAGAAUAUCAGAAUAAUCACACCUUGCAGGUCUGUACCCUCACUACCCCCAAGAAUAUUAGAAUAAUCACACCUUGCAGGUCUGUACCCUCACUACCCCCAAGAAUAUUAGAAUAAUCACACCUUGCAGGUCUGUAUUCUCAUGACCCCCAAGAAUAUUAGAAUAAUCACACCUUGCAGGUCUGUACCCUCGCUACCCCCAAGAAUAUUAGAAUAAUCACACCUUGCAGGUCUGUACCCUCACUACCCCCAAGAAUAUUAGAAUAAUCACACCUUGCAGGUCUGUAUUCUCACGACCCCCAAGAAUAUUAGAAUAAUCACACCUUGCAGGUCUGUACCCUCGCUACCCCCAAGAAUAUUAGAAUAAUCACACCUUGCAGGUCUGUACCGUCACUACCCCCAAGAAUAUUAGAAUAAUCACACCUUGCAGGUCUGUAUUCUCAUGACCCCCAAGAAUAUUAGAAUAAUCACACCUUGCAGGUCUGUAUUCACUACCCCCAAGAAUAUUAGAAUAAUCACACCUUGCAGGUCUGUAUUCUCAUGACCCCCAAGAAUAUUAGAAUAAUCACACCUUGCAGGUCUGUAUUCUCAUGACCCCCAAGAACAUUAGAAUAAUCACACCUUGCAGGUCUGUAUUCUCAUGACCCCCAAGAAUAUUAGAAUAAUCACACCUUGCAGGUCUGUAUUCUCACUACCCCCAAGAAUAUUAGAAUAAUCACACCUUGCAGGUCUGUAUUCACUACCCCCAAGAAUAUUAGAAUAAUCACACCUUGCAGGUCUGUAUUCUCAUGACCCCCAAGAAUAUUAGAAUAAUCACACCUUGCAGGUCUGUAUUCACUACCCCCAAGAAUAUUAGAAUAAUCACACCUUGCAGGUCUGUAUUCACUACCCCCAAGAAUAUUAGAAUAAUCACACCUUGCAGGUCUGUAUUCUCACUACCCCCAAGAAUAUUAGAAUAAUCACACCUUGCAGGUCUGUACCCUCACUACCCCCAAGAAUAUUAGAAUAAUCACACCUUGCAGGUCUGUAUUCACUACCCCCAAGAAUAUUAGAAUAAUCACACCUUGCAGGUCUGUAUUCACUACCCCCAAGAAUAUUAGAAUAAUCACACCUUGCAGGUCUGUAUUCACUACCCCCAAGAAUAUUAGAAUAAUCACACCUUGCAGGUCUGUAUUCUCAUGACCCCCAAGAAUAUUAGAAUAAUCACACCUUGCAGGUCUGUACCCUCACUACCCCCAAGAAUAUUAGAAUAAUCACACCUUGCAGGUCUGUAUUCACUACCCCCAAGAAUAUUAGAAUAAUCACACCUUGCAGGUCUGUAUUCUCAUGACCCCCAAGAAUAUUAGAAUAAUCACACCUUGCAGGUCUGUAUUCACUACCCCCAAGAAUAUUAGAAUAAUCACACCUUGCAGGUCUGUAUUCACUACCCCCAAGAAUAUUAGAAUAAUCACACCUUGCAGGGCAGUAUUCUCACUACCCCCAAGAAUAUCAGAAUAAUCACACCUUGCAGGUCUGUAUUCACUACCCCCAAGAAUAUUAGAAUAAUCACACCUUGCAGGUCUGUACCCUCGCUACCCCCAAGAAUAUUAGAAUAAUCACACCUUGCAGGUCUGUAUUCACUACCCCCAAGAAUAUUAGAAUAAUCACACCUUGCAGGUCUGUACCCUCGCUACCCCCAAGAAUAUUAGAAUAAUCACACCUUGCAGGUCUGUAUUCUCAUGACCCCCAAGAAUAUUAGAAUAAUCACACCUUGCAGGCCUGUAUUCUCAUGACCCCCAAGAAUAUUAGAAUAAUCACACCUUGCAGGUCUGUACCGUCACUACCCCCAA